rnacentral:sRNA from 1 species
UAAUAAACUCGUAUGGUUCCUAUCAAUGU